CUCCUUUCUGUUGGACUCUUUGUCAACCACUUUGGCAGGUGCAAUUCAAUGCUUAUCAUCAAUUUGUUGGCUAUCAAUGGUUGCCUUACGGGAUUCUGCAACAAAGCUGAGUUGGUUGAAAUGCUGAUCCUGGGCCACUUGGUUACUGGCUUGUAAUGCGGACUCUGCACAGGUUUUGUGCCCGUGUACAUUGGAGAGAUCUCGCCUACUGCCCUUUGGGGUACCUUUAGUGCUCUCACCCAGCUGGGCAUCAUUGUUGGUAUUCUGGAGAUCCAGAUCUUUGGUCUGGAGUUCAUCUUGGGGUCUGAAGAGCUAUGCCCAGUGAUACUGGGCUUUACCAUACUGGGCUUUACCAUCCUUCCAGCUGUCCUAUAAAGUGUAGCCCUUCCAUUUUGCCCUGAAAGUCAUAAGUUUUUUUGCUCAUUAACAGAAAGGAAGAGUACUAAUGAGAUCCUUCGGCAAUUGUAGGGGACUCAGGAUGUGUCCCAGGACAUCCAGGAGAUAAGAGUGCUAGGAUGGUACAAGAAAAGCAAGUCACUACACUGGCGCUCUUUAGAAUACCCAGCUACCGACAACCCACUGUCAUUUCCAUCAUGUUCCAGCUCUCUCAGUAGCUGUCUGGAAUCAGUGUUGUCUUCUCUUUCUCAAUGAGAAUCUUCAAGGAUUUACAGGUGUUGAGAAACCAAUCUAGAGAUUAGUGCAGGAGUGGUUAAUAUCUUCUUGACUGUAGUCUGUCUUUCUGGUUGAAAGGGCAGGAAGGACUUUACAUAUGAUAGGUCUUGGAGGGUGGCGUUUUGUUCUGUCCUCAUAAUUGUUUGUUAUUAAAGAAUGAGUAUGGUGGGAUGAGCUUUGUAGUGGGGCUAUCUUGGUCUUUGUGGCCUUCUCUGGAGUUGGACCAGGCCCCAUUCCCUGGUAUACUGUGGCCACACUCUUCAGUUUGCAAUAGCAGUGGCUGGUUGCUCCAACUGGACCUUCAGCUUUCUAGUUGGAUUGCUCUUCCUGAACAAUUAUUAUCUAGUUUAAGUGUGUUCUUGCUUUAGGGUCAUGGCAUGCUUAUGUAUGUCUAUUACCAUCUGACCAUGAUACUAUGCCAAGUUCUCUUAGGGGACCUGAAUCUUUCCAGUAGAUCACAUUUGAGAUAGUAUGAGUCCACUGGGCACAGUUCCCAACAAUCCAAGCACACAUACUUCACUGAAGCAGAUCUAAUAAUUCCAUUGACUUCAUUUCUAAAAUUGGACUUUGAGCAGCCAAUUUCUAAGGAUUAAAAAGAAACUUUAAUGCAUUGUAGACCUCUGUACCCAGAAAAUCUUUGUAACUUUUGGGCUUAAUUUUCAUUCCUAAAAAAUCUGGUAACUUUUUCAAAUGCAAGGAGCACUGUCAGUUUGCUGUGAGACUAGGGCUAGGCAAAGAACACAAGAUAUAGAGUCUCCCAUCACCACCACCCUGCCCCUGCGAGAAGAUUGCCUUUUAAUUAGAGACUUUUAAAACUAGUACUUUUAAAGUUCUACGCUCAUCUUUUCCAAAGACUAAGUCUAUUAGUAAACUUGCCAUGUAAUUUGACAUGGCAGUUCCUUGCUCAACUACUCUAAAUAAGUUGGAAAUUAGGUGGUAUCCUAGUUUGGGUAAAGUCAGUGCUACUGCCUGUAAUACACUUGGUAAUUGAAAGCCCUUCAAGUGGUUCAGAUUAUUUGCCAAAUAUUAGACUCUAUAAAAACUUCUGAGAUUUUUUUUUGUUUUUUUUUUACCUUUGAGUGUACAUGUGAUUGCUAUAAUGUGAAUACCAGUUCCUGAAAGACUGUUUCUGUAAGCAGAAUGAUGUAGCACAAAGUGAAAAGAUUUUCCUCUUAUUCCAGCAGUAUUCUUGCCUUCAAAGAGUAGUCUAUUACAUAUUGCCUUGAUUUUUAAGGUUGCGUUUUUGGAUGAAAAGCUUAACUGGAUAGUAAUUUCCAUAUGUUCUUUAUAACCACUCUGUAUAUUAUAAGCAAAAUUUUUUCAUAUUUCAUUGUAUCUUUUUCUGUUGAGCACUUUAUGCAUUUUAGUCUAUUGCAUUUGAGAAUGUAGUUUAGAAAUUCUUUCACUUUUUAAAGCCAUGUGAAAACUGAUAGAGGAUAAUGAAAAUGAGUGUACAUUAUUUUGAAUUCAACUGUUUUGUGGUGUGUGUAAACAAAACAUUAGAAAUAUAUUGUCUUUUUGUAAUAAUACUCUGACCUCACUUAAAGUGAUCUGCCAUGAGGUAUCAAUGAUCAAGUUUAUGUUUGUUCUGAUACCUAAGGAAUUCAGCCAGCUUUGUUUCAAUCAUCAGAUAAUCUCAGAAAAUAAUGUGUUUUACUUAUAUUACUGCCUCUUGUCAAUAUUUAAGAGAAUAAUUGUCUUCUGGUUUCUACUGAGCCUAGUAAUAAUCACUGAAGACCUAAAAAAGUGAGUAAUUCUUUUCUUCUGUUAAGAGUAUUUGGAUAGCCCAUUCACGAUAAUGGUGGUGUGAAAAUGAAUCAUCCCAGCUUUUCUGACAUAUCUAAAUUUUGAAUAAUUAAUUUCCACUUCCAAACAGUCCAAAUGUUUUCUUAAACCAGUCACUACUAUUUGCAUUAGUCCUGUAUAUUCAGUGAAUGUGAGGUCAUAUUUGGUAUUGUAUUAAAAGUAGUGUUAGGCCGGGCACGGUGGCUCAAGCCUGUAAUCCCAGCACUUUGGGAGGCCGAGACGGGCGGAUCAUGAGGUCAGGAGAUCGAGACCAUCCUGGCGAACACGGUGAAACCCCGUCUCAA